UACAGUCUUCAUCCGAAGGAAGGUGGCCGCACAUCUGGCGGGCCCGCAGAGCGCCGGAAGGUGAGGAUCCGUCUCAUCAGCGGUGGUCCGGCGAAGGCGAUAGCACCUGUCGGUGCAGCGGAACACGGGAAGUGGCGCUUCAUCGAUCCACCAUCAUUCCAUCCUUGUGGGUGGUAGCCGCGACUCCUUUCAUCUCGCCGCCGCUCAGCCGGAGGUUGGCACAGAGUCCGCGUGGCCAUAACUGGCUUCCAACCAGGAUUGACAGAGCACCACCCGUCACAGCGAGUAGGAAGAGAAGAUUUGCUGGGAUGCAUCAGAUGGUGGUUGUCCAUACACAGUGACGCUGCUCUCCUGCCGUUUGGGCACGGGCACGGCGCCGACAUCUACGGACCUGUCGACAAACCUCAUGUCUAGCCAAGCUCAAGUUCUUCAUAGGGCUGAGUCCACUGUCGCCAAUGACGCCAUCUAAGUUCCUUGUGGAUGAUACCAGAACAUCAGUAACAGUCACGGUAGUGCAUAUAGUGGUGCCAAGGAACACGUGAUCAUCGUCGUCGCAGAGCAGGUUAGCCCAAAGUAACACUGUUGAGGGCAACAGGAAGGUCACGGUGUCGUCCUUCGCCCCCUGCCUGACAUUGGUAGCGCAACAGUUAAAGUAAACAGCAAGCAGCAAUCAGAUAUAUGCAAAUAUGAAGGAUCAAUGAAAUCAAACAAAAAGGAUGAGAAACAGCAGUGACCAGGUGUUGGUGGCAAGCAGGCAUCAGUGUUCGAUGGGCCAAGGAGGAGCAAGGCUUCGCCAGGAGAUGCAUGAGUUUUCGGAAGAAGAGGGGCAUGGCUCGAUGAAAGUAUCUAGGCUGGACGAACUGGACAUCUCCAUCAUGGCGCUCAAGGUCGAGAACAACCACGCCUUCCAUCCUGCAAAUGAAGAACCAAUUGCUCGUUAAGAAGCUAAUUUUCAUAGAAUCAUACCUUGGUUCUGCAGCUAAAGGGAUGAAGCUUCAGGAAAUUUCUUAGAGCACGGGAGGAGAAAGGAAGUCGUCGAUCAAGCAACGCUGCUGGUGCGGGGCUCUGUUCCGGUGGCGGCAUCCGCUCAACGGGAACGUCAUGGACCACACCGGAUGCACCUCGCCAGCAGACCGACUGGAGGACCCUAAAGGUACCCCGCUUUGUCCCGUGCUGGGCAUCGCUACACCGACCCCUGCAUUGCUGGUGUAACUGUUUGUACUCGCUGAACACGGAGCAGAGUCAGCAGACAUGAGAGGGGGAAGACGAUACCAACUUGUCCCCAUCACUUUACUUCUGCUGAUGUUCCAAGGUGGACGGCCGGGUAGCUGGUGGGCGCUGGUGCGGGACUCCAGACGGCAACCUCCAUGUGCGAGAUCGCCUGCGGCGCUGUGCGGAGAGCUCUGACUUUCGCAAGGACCAAGGCGUACGCUGGGAGGAGGCGGAGACAAUGGCGGCGAGGUAUGGUAAUUGCUCUGCCCGCGACCACACACACUCCCUCUCCUCUAGCUGGGAAAGACGUGGAAGAGGCAAGCGCGGAGGUCUUCCACCACGCCGCCAGCAACCUCGGGAGGGAGAGAAAGGUGUGCUCCGUCGGAACGGAUAGAAGGGCGUGUCGCAGUUAGAGAAAAAAGCGCCCCAAUGGUUGGC